UACGGAGGGGGUUAGCGUUGUUCGGAAUUACUGGGCGUAAAGCGCGCGUAGGCGGACCUGCAAGUCGGGGGUGAAAGCCCGAGGCUCAACCUCGGAACUGCCUUCGAUACUGCGGGUCUCGAGUCCGGGAGAGGUGAGUGGAAUUCCUAGUGUAGAGGUGAAAUUCGUAGAUAUUAGGAAGAACACCAGUGGCGAAGGCGGCUCACUGGCCCGGUACUGACGCUGAGGCGCGAAAGCGUGGGGAGCAAACAGG
rnacentral:rRNA from 1 species